rnacentral:rRNA from 1 species
GAUGAACGCUGGCGGCGUGCCUAAUACAUGCAAGUCGAGCGAAUGGAUUAAGAGCUUGCUCUUAUGAAGUUAGCGGCGGACGGGUGAGUAACACGUGGGUAACCUGCCCAUAAGACUGGGAUAACUCCGGGAAACCGGGGCUAAUACCGGAUAACAUUUUGAACCGCAUGGUUCGAAAUUGAAAGGCGGCUUCGGCUGUCACUUAUGGAUGGACCCGCGUCGCAUUAGCUAGUUGGUGAGGUAAGGGCUCACCAAGGCAACGAUGCGUAGCCGACCUGAGAGGGUGAUCGGCCACACUGGGACUGAGACACGGCCCAGACUCCUACGGGAGGCAGCAGUAGGGAAUCUUCCGCAAUGGACGAAAGUCUGACGGAGCAACGCCGCGUGAGUGAUGAAGGCUUUCGGGUCGUAAAACUCUGUUGUUAGGGAAGAACAAGUGCUAGUCGAAUAAGCUGGCACCUUGACGGUACCUAACCAGAAAGCCACGGCUAACUACGUGCCAGCCGCCGCGGUAA